rnacentral:rRNA from 1 species
UGAUGCAGCGACGCCGCGUGAGGGAUGACGGCCUUCGGGUUGUAAACCUCUUUCAGCAGGGAAGAAGCGAAAGUGACGGUACCUGCAGAAGAAGCGCCGGCUAACUACGUGCCAGCAGCCGCGGUAAUACGUAGGGCGCAAGCGUUGUCCGGAAUUAUUGGGCGUAAAGAGCUCGUAGGCGGUCUGUCACGUCGGAUGUGAAAGCCCGGGGCUUAACCCCGGGUCUGCAUUCGAUACGGGCAGACUAGAGUGUGGUAGGGGAGAUCGGAAUUCCUGGUGUAGCGGUGAAAUGCGCAGAUAUCAGGAGGAACACCGGUGGCGAAGGCGGAUCUCUGGGCCAUUACUGACGCUGAGGAGCGAAAGCGUGGGGAGCGAACAGGAUUAGAUACCCUGGUAGUCCACGCCGUAAACGGUGGGAACUAGGUGUUGGCGACAUUCCACGUCGUCGGUGCCGCAGCUAACGCAUUAAGUUCCCCGCCUGGGGAGUACGGCCGCAAGGCUAAAACUCAAAGGAAUUGACGGGGGCCCGCACAAGCAGCGGAGCAUGUGGCUUAAUUCGACGCAACGCGAAGAACCUUACCAAGGCUUGACAUACACCGGAAACGGCCAGAGAUGGUCGCCCCCUUGUGGUCGGUGUACAGGUGGUGCAUGGCUGUCGUCAGCUCGUGUCGUGAGAUGUUGGGUUAAGUCCCGCAACGAGCGCAACCCUUGUUCUGUGUUGCCAGCAUGCCCUUCGGGGUGAUGGGGACUCACAGGAGACUGCCGGGGUCAACUCGGAGGAAGGUGGGGACGACGUCAAGUCAUCAUGCCCCUUAUGUCUUGGGCUGCACACGUGCUACAAUGGCCGGUACAAAGAGCUGCGAAACCGUGAGGUGGAGCGAAUCUCAAAAAGCCGGUCUCAGUUCGGAUUGGGGUCUGCAACUCGACCCCAUGAAGUCGGAGUUGCUAGUAAUCGCAGAUCAGCAUUGCUGCGGUGAAUACGUUCCCGGGCCUUGUACACACCGCCCGUCACGUCACGAAAGUCGGUAACACCCGAAGCCGGUGGCCCAACCCCUUGUGGGAGGGAGCUG